rnacentral:lncRNA from 1 species
GGCCCAGCCAGCACAGCCCACCUCUCCUCUCCAGGCCAGGGCCCCACACACCUUCCGCCUGACAGCCAGCCAAGCUCUUCAGUCCCCCGCCCUCCACCUGCCAGGGAGGCUCCGGGCGUUAUACCUGCCACCACGGGGUAGGUCUGGUGAGUCGAGAGGUUGCGCCCCAGUGGCGUGUUGGAAGGGGUCAGGGUGGCCUUCCCGUCGUCCAGGGUGCUGUUGAGCAAGGGCAGCGGGUAGAGGCCCUGGGGAGCAAAGAGAAGUCAGCGCACACAGAUGAUCCGACAAGCCGACCUUCCUGCAGACCCUGAGCCUGUGUCUUAGGACUUGGCAGCCCUAAUCUCCCCAGGAGAGGUCCUCAUCGUCCCCUUCUUCCUUUACGUUCUCAACUCCACUCAGCACGUUUCGUUCGUGCUCAUUGUCCUCCCGCAUCCCUGGAAUUCAAGGCCAGCAGGGUGUGUCUUAUUGAAAUUGAACAAAAUACCUAAUUUCUAGAGAGUAUAAGAAAAGUUUAAAAUACUUUAUGGAUGUGUUGUUUCGACAGCAAAAUAUCUACUCAGAAUCCUAUAGCUAUUUCAAAAUCCAAGUAACUUAGAAAAAAAGGAAACAGAAAACCUAUAUAGUCAAAUCUUUUGGUGAUUUUGUAUUCAAUGACUGAAACUUCCCAGUGAUUAUUGGGCUUUUUAGCUGGAAUUGAACUUGAAUCGGGGCAGAGCAGCACAAUGCUUCAGAACUUCAGCGACUCUGAGCCCUGGUUCUGCAAUGACCUGCCAAGUAGCUUUAGUCUA